rnacentral:rRNA from 1 species
GACGAACGCUGGCGGCGUGCUUAACACAUGCAAGUCGAACGGAAAGGCCCUGCUUUUGUGGGGUGCUCGAGUGGCGAACGGGUGAGUAACACGUGAGUAACCUGCCCUUGACUUUGGGAUAACUUCAGGAAACUGGGGCUAAUACCGGAUAGGAGCUCCUGCUGCAUGGGGGGGGUUGGAAAGUUUCGGCGGUUGGGGAUGGACUCGCGGCUUAUCAGCUUGUUGGUGGGGUAGUGGCUUACCAAGGCUUUGACGGGUAGCCGGCCUGAGAGGGUGACCGGCCACAUUGGGACUGAGAUACGGCCCAGACUCCUACGGGAGGCAGCAGUGGGGAAUAUUGCACAAUGGGCGGAACCCUGAUGCAGCAACGCCGCGUGCGGGAUGACGGCCUUCGGGUUGUAAACCGCUUUCGCCUGUGACGAAGCGUGAGUGACGGUAAUGGGUAAAGAAGCACCGGCUAACUACGUG